AUGAUUAUUUUGUCACCCUGCCAAAUUUUAGUCCAGCAUUUUCAGCUGAGAAAAAAUAACAUGUCCAACAGGGAGGACAGGUAAGGGGUAUUUGGCAGUGUCCCUGCAUUAGGCUGACCUACAUUGUGAGAGCUAACAUACAAGAGCUGUGUGUUGGGAGUACGAGUGUAGUGAGGGCAUUCACUUGUAGGGAAGGGACUUUCCUUUGACAGUUUUUUAUCAUUUUUCAAGUGAACUUUGUGCUGGGAGGAAGGGAGUGAAAAAAGCUGAGUUUGCUGUGUGAGUUGUACAGACACAUUUAACACAAGGAUUCCCAGGUAGCAGCACCACUGUCCCUGGCCUGAUGGCAAGCUGGAAUAGGUCAGCUUUUGUGUCAGCCUACGCCAUUCCUUCAGAAACUGCCCCUGGCUCCUGAUUUUCCAAAUGAACAAGAUCCCAUCACUUCUCACUACCCGAGAUAGAGUCACCUGUCACCCCCAUGCAGCCCAGGCCCACUCCAUUUCACACCAGCUCCUGUGAGAAGCCUCGUCCCUUACCUCACCAGUGUGUGGUCCCUGCUUCACCUCAAUCACUGUCACACAAGUGAGGAAGAGCAAAUGGAGAAACCCAAGCUCAGGCCAGAUCUUGUUCUUGUCUCUGAUGGCAUAAAAGGAGAGGCCAGAAUGUAGGCAGGGGGACGUGGAAGCCAGACACCAGGCUCAGUUCCUCAGCCAGCAUCUCGUACCAGCAGCUCCCUCUGAACUUUCCCAAUGCCAGCAGUGGGAUGGCAGCUGACACCAGCCACCAGACAGCCCAGGUGGUAGCCAGUGCUAUGCUGGCCUUUACUGGGACAAAUACUGAAACCUUCUCUCUCUGUAUCACUCUCCAUCCUUAUCUGCAAAGUUGUGUUGUGUACUAUUAGUAAACUAGAUAUAUCAGGCAGAUACUAUCUGUAAAAAUUGUGUCCCAUAGUUAACUGAAAGCUCUUGAAUAAAAUUCAUGAAGAAAAAAAUAAAUAAAUCUGU